GCCAUGAUUCUUGUGACAGCAGCGGCAUCUCCCAGCUCCUCUUUCAACUGUUCAUAUGAUUUCCCUGCCUGAAAAGCAGAGAGAAAGCACAGGAUGGGGCGCCACUUUCAGGGGAGGGCCAUCUCAGCCCCAGCCUGGACCCUCAGGAAACAUCAAAAAGAGCCAGGGAAUCAUAAGGCAUUUCAGGGAAAAGCAAAAAUGAAAACCCCUCCUCCAGGGUCCAUGCAGGGUUGGAAGAUAUGAGGGUCCCAGGCCAAGAACCAGCCAGUGAAGAUGGGAGGCUCGAACCCCUGUUUAACAAUGACAAUUGAUGUGUCAACAUCUCGGCCACUGGGAGUGACCUGUCUAAAGCACAUCUGUCACUCACCUGCUUAAGUUGCAGUAGCUUGUCAGGAUAGAGUUCAAACUUCUUGACGUGGUAGGUAAGGCCUAUACCUACUUCUUCAGCUCCUUCUCUAGCUCCUUGAUCUCAUAUUCUGAUACUACUGUGUGCAGUUCCCUGUGUACUAGAUGGCUUGCACGCCUUGCUUUUACCUGUGCUACUUCCUUGGCCCACAGUGCCCUGAUUAAUGCCCACUCAUCCUUUGUGGUUUACCCUUGGAGCCAUCUCCUCUGGGAGGGCUUCUCAGAGCCCCAGGACUGUGUUGAGCAUCUGUAAUUUGUGCUCCUUUGUACCUUGUACCUUCAUCAUAGUAAAAUGGUAUUUCUGUGUGCAGUGCCCCCAUCAGCCUGUGACAUCUGAGACUAGGGGCCCUUCACCCUGGUGAUGCCACGGAUCUAGUACAGUGGCUGGGAUGGAGGAGGUGAUGAGUAUGUCUGCGGAGCUGAACUGAAGAAAAUCAGAUGUGGAGGAGGGGGUGCCUUGAAGAUAACCCUUUCACACUCCUUUGUUCCCUAACAGGCUGGUAAUCUCUUGGUGUGGAGCCUGUUGCUGCUGAUCCUGAGAGAAAGAAGUGCAUGAUGAUGGAAGGCCUAAUUUUCCCAGAACAAGGUGGGAAAACUCCCAGGAUGGGAGAGUUGUAUUUGUUGUAUUUUCAAAAAUGUAUGUGGUUUUGGGAGGAGAUUUCUGCUGCUCUACUCACGCCACCAUCUUGGUUCUCUCUAUCAUAUGAUCACCAGCUUUCCUUUGAAGAUGGCCAUGAAGUGACGUGGCUCUUUCCCCAUGGAAACUCGAACCUGCACAGAGGCCCCGUCCAACUGCCGCUCCACCUCCACUGCCUGGUAUGCUGAGGCCACCAGCUCAUCCUGUGAGGCGUGGUGGCCCUGCAGUGGUGAGAGGCAUAAUGGGCCCCUGCUACCCCAGCCCCAGCUCAGUGACCAGAGGAAGCAUCAGGGUCCAGAGCUGAAAGGCUGCCUCAGGCCUACCUGCCAGAUGUACAGGACGUAACGUGGCUUCCCAACCGCCUCAUAUGUGUAGAGAACCAGAUAGCAGUCUCCCCCAUAAAAGAAGCCAUACCACUGACGCUCCAGAGGGACCAGCUCCAGGUUUUCAAUUCUCCAAACCUGGGCAUACAAGGAGAUACAAUUCCACUGAGAGGGGGUCCCACCAAGAGAGAGACAGCUACCUGAAGGGAUGCUUAGCAGAGCACCCAGGUGGGUAAGGAACUGGCAUCCACUCAGCCUACCCUUGCCCCUCUGGUUCUUCCCCAGUGGUAAGGGCUUAUCUUAUUUGCAUGAUUUGAAUCCUGAGGAGAAUCGGCCCUGGUCAGGUGUAUCCCCAUCAUGGCUCAGAGGUGGUUUGAAUAUAUCUGCUAGGUGAGUUACUGUUAGCACCCUGGGGAGCAGCCUUUCACGUCCCUGAAGAAUGUCGGAAAGCUGCGUACUUGGAUGCCUCCUAGAGAACACUCCCAAGGUGCCAGAGGUGAAGAGCUAAGCAAAGGAGACACCUGCCGUCUCCUUUGCAGCAGGGCAGCCAGGAGGGCCAGUGCCGCCUGCUGUGAGCUGGGGGUCACUGGACUUACCUCCACCUUUCCAUUGCCAUCAUCGACCAUUCUUUCCUGCGCAGCUACUGCUGGCUUGGCAUGAAGCAGCGUCACAUCAAAUUUAUCCUGGAAAACUUUAGCUGCAGAGAAGGGGUUGGGAGAAGCCAAGCCCACCGUCUGCUGCCUCAUUGACCACUUCUGAAACAGCUGCGUGAACAUGGCUGACUCGGCACCAUCAUUAACAGUCUCCACAUUGGUGCUGCUGGGGUAGCCCUUCAACACGAUGAAGUUCUGCAGACAUCCCCAGCCCCAAAAGCCAGUCAACCACAGAGUGCAUGGGC